UCUGGAGCUAAAAAAAAUUCCUCAUCCUCCAAAUUAUUGUAUGUCAAAAGAAAUUAUAUUAUAAUAUAUCUUUGGUAUGUAUAAAAUGAGAUUGUGAUGCAGUCAUUGUAAUUUAUUUUUUAUUUUUUAUAGGCUUUGUCCCCUCUACUAUUGUUCAUUUUGCAUGUUAUUUCACAAACUUUGAAAAUUCUCAUAUUAGCCACCAAAUUCAAUUGGUGCCCGAAAAAAAAAAGAAUGGUUGAAAGACAAUAUGAGGCAUUCGAAUCAAAAGUGGUAUGGUAUGGUCUAAGGCUAUCACUGUAAUUUCACCCCUGGGAGUUGGGACGCCGGGUUAUCCACAGCGUGCCUGUUGAUUACAGAGUUGCAAAAACCCUGAAAAGGAGGUCUAAGCCAAGCUUGCCCGACCUACCUCUGGCGAUGAGGGUUUUGUGCUCCGGCAUGGAUAAGUCUUUGGUGGAGUUAGAGAAAAUGCACAACCUGCUCGUCAUUAAACUAAUCCGGCAGGACAUUAGCCACCGGUUCUAUGUUACCCUCUUUUCGCCGGAGCCGAUCGUCUUCCUCCUCCUUCACCGGCACUCGUAAAUCUAGGGUACUUGAAAGUAGCAUAUCAUCAAGGUCGUUUGGGUUCUGGAGGAUGGACCUUUGUCAUUGUUGGAGGAGCUUGUAGAAGGUACCAAUUGUGUGAUAUAAUUAAUUGCAUAUUUUAAAGUCUUUGUUAAUUGUUCUUGGGGGUUGUAAAAUUUUUAAUUCGAAUUGAGUAGUUUGCUUUUCGCCUCUGAAAAUUAUAUUCUAUAUACAGUAGAAGCUUAUGAUAUGUAUAGCCUUUUGUUAUGAAAGGGUGUGUUUUAUCUGAUUGCUACUGUAGCUUUUGAUUAAUGAAAUUCUUUCUUAUAAAAUGAAAAAAAGUACAAGUUUUAUUUUCUUUUA